rnacentral:rRNA from 1 species
AUUGAACGCUGGCGGCAGGCUUAACACAUGCAAGUCGAGCGGAGAGAGGGUGCUUGCACCUUAGCUUAGCGGCGGACGGGUGAGUAAUGCUUAGGAAUCUGCCUAUUAGUGGGGGACAACAUUCCGAAAGGGAUGCUAAUACCGCAUACGCCCUACGGGGGAAAGCGGGGGAUCUUCGGACCUUGCGCUAAUAGAUGAGCCUAAGUCGGAUUAGCUAGUUGGUGGGGUAAAGGCCUACCAAGGCGACGAUCUGUAGCGGGUCGGAGAGGAUGAUCCGCCACACUGGGACUGAGACACGGCCCAGACUCCAACGGGAGGCAGCAGUGGGGAAUAUUGGACAAUGGGCGGAAGCCUGAUCCAGCCAUGCCGCGUGUGUGAAGAAGGCCUUUUGGUUGUAAAGCACUUUAAGCGAGGAGGAGGCUACUAGUAUUAAUACUACUGGAUAGUGGACGUUACUCGCAGAAUAAGCACCGGCUAACUCUGUGCCAGCCGCCGCGGUAA